rnacentral:rRNA from 1 species
CCUACGGGGCGCUGCAGUGAGGAAUAUUGGUCAAUGGGCGAGAGCCUGAACCAGCCAAGUCGCGUGAGGGAGUACUGCCCUAUGGGUUGUAAACCUCUUUUGUCGGGGAGCAAAAGCCGGACGUGUCCGGCUGUGAGAGUACCCGAAGAAAAAGCAUUGGCUAACUCCGUGCCAGCAGCCGCGGUAAUACGGAGGAUGCGAGCGUUAUCCGGAUUUAUUGGGGUUAAAGGGUGCGCAGGCGGAUUUUUAAGUCAGCGGUCAAAUCGUGGGGCUCAACCCCAUCCAGCCGUUGAAACUGGGGAUCUAGAGUGUGCGAGAGGUAUGCGGAAUGCGUGGUGUAGCGGUGAAAUGCAUAGAUAUCACGCAGAACCCCGAUUGCGAAGGCAGCAUACCGGUGCACAACUGACGCUCAGGCACGAAAGCGUGGGUAUCGAACAGGAUUAGAUACCCGGGUAGUC